UUAACUCCCGAGGAAAACUGAAAACUUCGGCAGUUAACUGCCGAAGUUUUCAGUUUACUGUCGAAGUUUU
rnacentral:pre_miRNA from 1 species